GCGCGCGACCUAUACCCGGCC
rnacentral:sRNA from 1 species